rnacentral:lncRNA from 1 species
UAUACAGUAGUUCCCAACUUUUCCUAUUUUAAGAAAAAAAAAAUAAAAAAUCAUGUACAUAGUCAGUGUAAAGCACCUUUACACAAACAACUAAUAGUGUUUUUGCCACCUUACUUUUAUUGCUUUAAUUAAAUCAAAUAAAAAAUAAUUGAAAAAAGGAAACAAAUCACAUCUCUUUUACACUGUUAUGAUAUUCGCACCUUCUCCAUUUGUCUUGACUCAUGCCCGUGUCUUCAACCGUAUAGACUCACGUCGGUGCGGCUGCUUUUGCCUUUGGAGUUUUGCAUAUGUGUGAAGAAGUUAUUACCUUUCUGGAGUUAUGCAACAUCAACCCGUUGAGAUCAAAUAAAAUUACACCACUUUUAUUGCAUCAGCCCGUUCUUUAUAUCUCUUCUCCUGUCGAAUAUGUUGUUGCACUUCCAAUUCACGUACCUUGCGUUGCCUUCUGACCUCAUGCCCUAGUUUUGCCUUCAUUACGGGUUUGAACAAUAAUUUCAUUGUUUUACUCUCUUACGUUGCUUUUUUUUUUUUUUUUCAUUAUCUGUUGUUCUACGUUCUCUUAUAUAUGGGUUUGUUUCACAAUUUGAUUUAACCACUUACUCUUUUAUGUUCACUUUAAUUUAACCACUUUGAAUGUCAUUAUUCUCAAUUUGAUUCUUCUACAUAUUUUUAUGUGCAGUUAUUAUUAUUAUUAUUAUUAUUAUUAUUAUUAUUAUUAUUAUUAUUAUUAUUAUUAUUAUUAUUAUUAUUAUUAUAAAAGUGUUAUUUACUGAAUGUUGUGUGUCAAUAUAUACCAUACCUUAUGUUAUUUAUAAUAUAAAAAAGAGAAUCAAUAUUGAUUAUAAGAUUAAUCAAUUAUUAAUUAAUAGAAAAUAAAAUAUUCUAAUAAUAAAUAUAAUAUGUUACAAAUGGGAUAUGAACCGAGAUUCUAAAUAAUAUUCCGUGAGCAUAUAUGUAAUAUGAACCAAGAUUGUGGUCAACCAAUGAAGGCAUGUAAUGACGAUGGAGACCAGUGAGAUGCUCACGGGAGAUGCAUCACACGUCGUGUGCAUGAACUUCAUGCGCAAGACCCUGUAUGGGAUCACAUGUGGCAGUGUUUUGAGUUGGCUGCAUGUGUGGACGGCGUGUGGGUUGUAGUAGUAAAUCAAGAACCAAUGGUAUGUUAACUAGUAAAGAGAUGCUUUGUUCAAAGGAGGGGUUUCAGUCAAAAAAUUGUGAAAAAUAGCACUUGCAACAUAGGGCAAAACAAGGGUAGGGUGAAAGACAAUUUUUAAUAUAAAUAAAAGUGAAGAUAGAUGGAUUAUUUAUAGAUUCUUGAGAGAGCAUAAUCAUUAACUCUUUUUGAAAGCAAAACUGGUUGAUGGAAGUGCAACAAUGUAUAUGUAUGUUUAGGGGAGACAAGAUAAUGCUACAUAGAGAAGGGGAAGAUGCAAUGAAAGGUGGUGCAAUCUUAUUUGAUCUCUACUGGUUGAUGAUGUGAAACUCCAAAGAGGUAACAAUGUAUUCAUGCAUAUGCGGAACUCAAAGGCAAAAGUAGCGGCAAUAGCGUGAGUCGAGAUAAGUAGAGAAGGUGCAAACAGCAUAAUAC